rnacentral:rRNA from 1 species
AUUGAACGCUGGCGGCAGGCUUAACACAUGCAAGUCGAGCGAGCGGCGGACGGGUGAGUAAUGUCUGGGAAACUGGCUGAUGGAGGGGGAUAACUACUGGAAACUGUAGCUAAUACCGCAUACCAUCAGAUGUGCCCAUAUGGGAUUAGCUAGUUGGUGGGGUAAUGGCUCACCUAGGCGACGAUCCCUAGCUGGUCUGAGAGGAUGACCAGCCACACUGGAACUGAGACACGGUCCAGACUCCUACGGGAGGCAGCAGUGGGGAAUAUUGCACAAUGGGGGCAAGCCUGACGCAGCCAUGCCGCGUGUGUGAAGAAGGCCUUCGGGUUGUAAAGCACUUUCAGCGACGAGGCGUUACCCGCAGAAGAAGCACCGGCUAACUCCGUGCCAGCAGCCGCGGUAAUAC